rnacentral:rRNA from 1 species
UGGGGAAUUUUGGUAAUCUGCGAAAGCGGGAACCAGCAACGCCGCGUGUGCGAUGAAGGCCUUCGGGUUGUAAAACACUUUUUGGAGGGAUGAGGAAGGACAGUACCUCCAGAAUAAGCCUCGGCUAACUACGUGCCAGCAGCCGCGGUAACACGUAGGAGGCAAGCGUUAUUCGGAUUUACUGGGCGUAAAGCGCGUGCAGGCGGUUCGGAAAGUUGGAUGUGAAAGCUCCUGGCUUAACUGGGAGAGGUCGUUCAAUACUUCCGGACUUGAGAGUGGGAGAGGGAGGUGGAAUUCCGGGUGUAGUGGUGAAAUGCGUAGAUAUCCGGAGGAACACCAGUGGCGAAAGCGGCCUCCUGGCCCAUUUCUGACGCUUAGACGCGAAAGCUAGGGUAGCAAACG